rnacentral:RNase_P_RNA from 1 species
GGAGGGAAGCUCUUCGGUGGAGCCAUGAGCUGAGUGCAUUCAGUUACUCUACCCCAUGUCCCUUGGGAAGGUCUGAGACUAGGGCAAAAGCGGCCCUAACAGGGCCCUCCCUGAACCUCGGGGAGGUGAGUUCCCAGAGAACGGGUCUCGGAGCGAGGGUGGACUGGGCAGGAGAUGCUGUGGGUCCCCUCCCUUGAGGAGGGACAAGGCGGAUGCCUCCUGAGCCGGAGCUUAGAACAGACUGAUGCAUGGUUACUAACAGACAGGCCCGUGUAAAUAGAACAAGACAGAGCCUUGGUUCUCUGCCCUGUCGUCACCCACCCCAACUGAAACCGCAAAAAGUAAACAAAAAGCAAAAAAAAAAAAAAAAAAAAAUUCCUUAGUACAAUCAAAAUAUUUAGCAAUAAUACUAGAUGGACUUUUCCAAAUUGCGCCACCUGGUGGUGAUAACAGGCUCUGCCUGCUCC